GAUGAACGCUGGCGGCGUGCCUAAUACAUGCAAGUCGAGCGAACAGACGAGGAGCUUGCUCCUCUGACGUUAGCGGCGGACGGGUGAGUAACACGUGGAUAACCUACCUAUAAGACUGGGAUAACUUCGGGAAACCGGAGCUAAUACCGGAUAAUAUAUUGAACCGCAUGGUUCAAUAGUGAAAGACGGUUUUGCUGUCACUUAUAGAUGGAUCCGCGCCGCAUUAGCUAGUUGGUAAGGUAACGGCUUACCAAGGCAACGAUGCGUAGCCGACCUGAGAGGGGGAUCGGCCACACGGGAACUGAGACACGGUCCAGACUCCUACGGGAGGCAGCAGUAGGGAAUCUUCCGUAAUGGGCGAAAGCCUGACGGAGCAACGCCGCGUGAGUGAUGAAGGUCUUCGGAUCGUAAAACUCUGUUAUGAGGGAAGAACAAAUGUGUAAGUAACUAUGCACGUCUUGACGGUACCUAAUCAGAAAGCCACGGCUAACUACGUG
rnacentral:rRNA from 1 species